GCGCAGGAAAGAUCGCGCUCGAUCGAUCAUCUCUUCCUACGUAAUAGCCAUGCGCGCUUGCCGUUCGUGGGUGGGAGCAUGCGCAACACAACUGCGAGUAUCUUUUUACGCAUGCGUGUUUUAAAUUCCGCACUCCCUCCUCUAGUGCGCAUGUGUUCUGAACAGACUUCCUCUUUCUCCUGCGGCAUCCGGCAGGCCUUGCGCGCAGCCGUAGAGAAGGCAACCCUCAAGUGGGCGGAGGAAGGCAGGGUCCGGGGAGGAGCAGAUACAGAAUUUCUCCUGCAAGUAUCUGGUUCUGCAGAGAUUUAAUAGAAGACUGCACAAGCAACAUCUAGAACCAAAACUCUCACUAAGCCUGGAGAGUACACGGCACUGACGUAUGGACCACUAUACCCGAAUAUGGGAUACUUCAGAGAUGGAGGAGAGCUCAAUUCAGGACGGGGGUGAAGAGGUAGAGGAAGGAGCUGUUUACCAUGUCACCCUCAAAAGAGUACAGAUUCAACAGGCUGCCAAUAAAGGAGCAAGAUGGCUAGGGGUUGAAGGGGACCAGUUGCCUCCAGGACAUACUGUCAGCCAGUAUGAAACAUGUAAGAUCAGAACAAUAAAAGCUGGCACUCUGGAGAAACUUGUGGAGAACCUGCUGACGGCUUUUGGGGACAAUGACUUUACCUACAUCAGCAUCUUUCUGUCAACAUAUAGAGGCUUUGCCUCUACUAAAGAAGUACUGGAACGUCUUCUCGACAGGUAUGGAAACCUGGAGACCUCAAACUGUGAAGAAGAUGGGAGCCAGAAUUCCUCAGAGUCCAAAACAGUGCUCAGGAAUGCAAUAGCCUCAAUCUUGAGAGCCUGGCUUGACCAAUGCUCUGAAGACUUCCGAGAGCCACCCAAUUACCCUUGUUUGCAGAAAUUGCUGGAUUACCUUAAACGGAUCAUGCCAGGCUCUGACCCGGAGAGAAGGGCACAAAACCUCUUGGAGCAGCUUCAGAAGCAAGAAGUGAAAAAUGAGAAUGGGUUCCAUAGCACCUUCACUUUCAGCUUUGAUGAGGAAGAGGAAAUGGAAGCUGGAGGACCAGAAGAGUUCUCUUUUUUCCCAGAAGACCUUGUGGCAGAGCAAUUAACAUACAUGGAUGCAAAGCUCUUUAAGAAAGUGGUGCCCCACCACUGCUUGGGGUGCAUCUGGUCUCGGAGGGAUAAGAAAGAAAACAAACACUUGGCGCCCACCAUCAGAGCCACCAUUUCUCAGUUCAACGCAGUUACCAAAUGUGUCGUCAGCACCAUCCUGAAGGGCAAGGACCUCAAAACACAGCAGAGGGCCAAGAUAAUUGAGAAAUGGAUUCAUAUUGCACAUGAAUGUAGGAUCCUGAAGAAUUUUUCCUCUUUGAGGGCCAUUGUUUCAGCACUACAGUCCAACUCCAUCUACCGGUUAAAGAAGACUUGGGCGUCUGUUCCAAAGGACAGGAUGCUGAUGUUUGAAGAGCUGUCCGAUAUCUUCUCAGACCAUGACAAUUAUCUGACAAGUAGAGAGCUGCUAAUGAAGGAAGGAACAUCCAAAUUUGCAAAUCUGGACAGUAGUGUGAAAGAGAACCAGAAAAGGACCCAGAGGCGGCUUCAGCUCCAAAAAGAUAUGGGAGUCAUGCAGGGUACGGUCCCCUACCUUGGCACCUUUCUUACAGACCUGACCAUGCUUGACACAGCGCUGCAGGACUAUAUAGAGGGUGGGCUGAUAAACUUUGAGAAGAGGAGACGGGAGUUUGAAGUAAUUGCCCAAAUUAAGCUCUUGCAAUCUUCCUGUAAUAGCUAUUGCAUGACGCCAAACCAAAAAUUCAUCCGAUGGUUCAGGAGACAGCGGCUGUUAACAGAGGAGGAGAGUUAUGGCCUCUCAUGUGAGAUAGAAGCAGCUGCUGACACUAACACCACAUCACCGAAACCUCGGAAGAGUAUGGUGAAGAGACUCAGCUUACUGUUUCUGGGAGCAGAUGUGAUCACCAAUAGCACACCCACCAAAGAGCAGCCCAAAUCUACUCCAAGUGGGAGCUCUGGUGAAAGCAUGGAUUCUGUCAGUGUAUCAUCGUGUGAGUCGAACCACUUUGAGAGUGAAGAAGUCUGCAUCACCCCCAUAGACACUCCUGAUGAUCCUCAGAAAAAGCUCUCUGAAUCCUCCUCCUCUUGUUCCUCCAUCCAUUCCAUGGACACGUCUUCCUCAGGGGUGUCAUCUUUAACCAACACUAUCUCACCCCCUCCUUCCUUAACCUCCAAUCCCAAGAUCCACAAGCGCUCCAUCUCCGUCACAUCCAUUACCUCAGCAGUAUUGCCUCCUGUUUACAACCAGCAGAACGAAGACAUGUGCAUCAUCCGGAUCAGCAUAGAAGACAACAAUGGCAACAUGUACAAGAGUAUCAUGUUGACUAGCCAAGACAAGACUCCAGCUGUCAUUCAGAGAGCUAUGUCAAAACACAACCUGGAGGCUGACCCAGUCGAGGAUUAUGAACUUGUUCAGGUCAUUGCUGAGGACAAAGAGUUAGUCAUCCCUGACAGUGCUAAUGUAUUUUAUGCCAUGAACAGCCAGGUGAACUUUGACUUCAUCCUACGGAAAAAAUCCUCCCUUGAUGGGCAAGUGAAGAUGCGGAGCCGAUCUAGUUUGACACUUCCCAGAACUGCCAAAAGGGGGUGCUGGACUAACAGACACAGCAAAAUCACACUUUGAAGAGAAUGAGCUAACACAAAGGAGAUGUGGUUUAGAAAAAAGAAAACUUUGAUACCAUCCAGUAUUACAAAGUCAUGGAAGAUGAAGGUGUCAGUGUUUGACUUUGGAAAGAUUUGAGACUGGAAUACAAAGUGUGCAUUCACUAUAGAUACAUAGAGAUGAACAUCGAGAGAGAGAGAGAGACUUAUGGGACAGUCACUAUGGAAAUAUAUUUUGCACAUUGGCCUAGGAAGGUGAGGUCACAUAUACAGGGAAAAAUGGAAUUGCCAACCAAUCUUGUCUUAAGAAUUCCACAUAAGCUAAAUCUCCUCCUUGGAAAACAGAUUCUCCUUUGUGCCAGUAUUACCUAGAACAAGAACUUUAAAUUUAUUUUUAUACAUUGGAGAAGAAAACUGUUGCAAUUAAAUUCCACCUGAAUCAAGCAGGAGGAUCUGAGCAGCCGUCAGCUGAAUGAUAACACUGAUUUCCAAAGGGUGUGGAUGAGUUGAUGGCUGCUAGUUCCUCCCCCUGUCUGACAAGUGUUGCCUCCAGGAGGCUUUCACAUCUGUGAAGAAGAAAGGAGCGUUGAGCCCCUCCUAAAACACUAGUCUAGAGACACAAGGAAGAAUGCAGUUGUGUGCAUGUAGGUUGGUUUCACGGAACUGACAAACAUUUUUUGCAGUUGUUCAAAGCCAGAAAAUACAUUUUGAGGGUUUUCCAAAGAACAUUAAGAAAAUGGGCCAGGGUUGCUUUUGGAUGAAUGUCAUGUUUUGUUAAUGAGCAAGGCAAGGAAACUCAACCAACGUUACUUCUCUGGACCUUGUUCACAUCUUAAUGCCACUAUAGUGUGUUCUUCCUUAGGCUUACCUAAUCUGUUUAACAGGAAUCAAGGCCUUUUGCAUGUACAGUUGCAAGUUCUCCAAAUUCACUGAUGUACCUCGUUGUAAUGUGCAAUCCCUCUUCAGGUGCAGAACUCUACAUUAAUCCACAUUGAUUCAGUAAGAGGCAACUAUAUUAUUUUGUGCUUUAAAAGUGGCAUAAAACAGACAUGUUUAUUAUUCAGUGCCCAAAAUUACUACAGAUCUUAUAAACUUGUAGCAUUAUUAUACAUAAUCUUCAACCACCACCUUCUCUUAUAUGCUUCUAUUAACUGAAUAGUUUCCUGACAUGGUACAUCCUUCCAGAUGGAAUAAAGAAUUUAACCUUCUGUAAAGGCUCCCAUAGCUGCUAUUCUCUGUGAAACUUUAAAUGACGCAUUUGUUAACUCGAAGAUACAAGUCUCCCUUCAGAACACAUGCAUAAUUAAAAGGUCACAUAAAAGAUUUUAAUUCAAAGCCAUAAAUGACACAUUGGAUUGUAAGCAACACUCACAGAACAGAUUGUCUUUUCAGAAUACUAGAGCUGGUUAAAAUAAACUCAGAUCUUGAAUUUUAUACAAGUCUGGAGCAUGUUUUACCAGUUCUGUAGCACUGAUUGUCAAAGCUGGGCCUAGAGUCCAUUACCAAAUACCCAUGAUGUACCAAUAAAUGUCUUAAAUGGUGUUGGGUCUUUACUAUGUAAAGAAUUAUUCCCAUUUAAAAGGCAGCUCAUUCUCUAUAGUUUGAGUAUCUUAAAUCCAAGUUGUAUUUUUAUUUUGGGAAUGAAUAGAUCCAGUUUUGAACUGAGCCUUAGAUGUGUCUAAUAUUGGGUCAAGUUUACAACAGAACUAAAGUUCAGUUUCCUUUGUAAUUCAGUAAAG